rnacentral:tRNA from 1 species
AGCUCGGCGUGGGGCAGGUUGAAGCUGCCGCCCAGCGUGUGGCACAGCUUGUGGUGCAGCGCCAUGGCCACGCUGCC